CUGAUCGUUGGUCUUGUCGCGGUAUUCCAUCCCAAGGUCGUAAUAUUCGAGGUUCACAUCGAGGAACGGGUAGAUCAGCUUGUCCUUGAUGUACUGCCAGAUGAUCCGNNNNNNNNCGAGUUCGACGACGGGGUUGGUCACCUUGAUUUUUGCCAUGGGGGAUCGGGCCUUAAAUUGGGGGCGGAGAGGGCGAGAGAACCGCGCAACGGUUCCGUAGCGAGGCUAUAGCACCCGCGUUCGCGG
rnacentral:misc_RNA from 1 species